rnacentral:rRNA from 1 species
AAGAAGGUAACUUUGGAGUCAGCUCUUGUUUAUGUUCCUUGGAACAGGACGUCACAGAGGGUGAGAAUCCCGUGCGAUGAGAUGUCUGAUUCUAUGUAAAGUGCUUUCGAAGAGUCGAGUUGUUUGGGAAUGCAGCUCUAAGUGGGUGGUAAAUUCCAUCUAAAGCUAAAUAUUGGCGAGAGACCGAUAGCGAACAAGUACAGUGAUGGAAAGAUGAAAAGAACUUUGAAAAGAGAGUGAAAAAGUACGUGAAAUUGUUGAAAGGGAAGGGAUCUAAAUCAGACAUGGUAUUUUGUGAUCAACAGUCUUUCGGGAUUGUGCACUCGCAUUUUACUAGGCCAGCAUCGGUUAGAAGGGGGUAAAAAAGAUUUUGGAAUGUGGCUCCUCGGAGUGUUAUAGCCAAAGUUAAUUGCCCCAUUUCUGACCGAGGACCGCGUCUUUUGACUAGGAUGCUGGCGUAAUGGUUUUGAUCCACCCGUCUUGAAACACGGACC